GAUGAACGCUGGCGGCGUGCCUAAUACAUGCAAGUCGAGCGAAUGGAUUAGGAGCUUGCUCUUAUGAAGUUAGCGGCGGACGGGUGAGUAACACGUGGGUAACCUGCCCAUAAGACUGGGAUAACUCCGGGAAACCGGGGCUAAUACCGGAUAACAUUUUGAACCGCAUGGUUCGAAAUUGAAAGGCGGCUUCGGCUGUCACUUAUGGAUGGACCCGCGUCGCAUUAGCUAGUUGGUGAGGUAACGGCUCACCAAGGCAACGAUGCGUAGCCGACCUGAGAGGGUGAUCGGCCACACUGGGACUGAGACACGGCCCAGAAUCCUACGGGAGGCAGCAGUAGGGAAUCUUCCGCAAUGGACGAAAGUCUGACGGAGCAACGCCGCGUGAGUGAUGAAGGCUUUCGGGUCGUGAAACUCUGUUGUUAGGGAAGAACAAGUGCUAGUUGAAUAAGCUGGCACCUUGACGGUACCUAACCAGAAAGCCACGGCUAACUACGUGCCAGCCGCCGCAGUAA
rnacentral:rRNA from 1 species